rfam:Cavia porcellus supercont2_73 genomic scaffold, whole genome shotgun sequence.
UGGCGCCCCAACGUGGGACUCGAGAACAGGGGACUUCAUGAGGGAUGCUGUUCGUGGGCCCAAAGUAGAAAAAGGAAAAGAAAAUAGAAGACCAACGUGGGAGCCUGCCACGCCGCUGAACCUUGGUAAGUGAACAGCAAUUAUGGGACAAGAAAUUAGCCAGCAUGAGAUUUUUGUUAAAAGUUUAGAAAGGCUUUGAAAGAUG